ACCAUGUUCGAAGGCCUCGGCAGGUCCAAGGU
rnacentral:piRNA from 1 species